rnacentral:rRNA from 1 species
AUUGAACGCUGGCGGCAUGCCUUACACAUGCAAGUCGAACGGCAGCACGGGAGCAAUCCUGGUGGCGAGUGGCGAACGGGUGAGUAAUAUAUCGGAACGUGCCCGGUCGUGGGGAUAACGUAGCGAAAGCUACGCUAAUACCGCAUACGAUCUACGGAUGAAAGCGGGGGAUCGCAAGACCUCGCGCGAUUGGAGCGGCCGAUAUCAGAUUAGGUAGUUGGUGAGGUAAAGGCUCACCAAGCCGACGAUCUGUAGCUGGUCUGAGAGGACGACCAGCCACACUGGGACUGAGACACGGCCCAGACUCCUACGGGAGGCAGCAGUGGGGAAUUUGGACAAUGGGCGCAAGCCUGAUCCAGCAAUGCCGCGUGCAGGAUGAAGGCCUCGGUUGUAAC